rnacentral:tRNA from 1 species
GGGCAGGUGAUCCGAUUGGUAAUGGUGGUUCUCUGUAAAAGAAUUGGUUAACGCCGUUAAAGGUUCGAUUCCUUUUCUGCUCA